GAGUUUGAUUCUGGCUCAGAUUGAACGCUGGCGGCAUGCUUUACACAUGCAAGUCGAACGGCAGCACAGGGAGCUUGCUCCUGGGUGGCGAGUGGCGAACGGGUGAGUAAUGUAUCGGAACGUGCCUGGUAGUGGGGGAUAACUACUCGAAAGAGUGGCUAAUACCGCAUGAGAUCUUUGGAUGAAAGCGGGGGACCUUCGGGCCUCGCGCUACUGGAGCGGCCGAUAUCAGAUUAGGUUGUUGGUGGGGUAAAGGCCUACCAAGCCUGCGAUCUGUAGCUGGUCUGAGAGGACGACCAGCCACACUGGGACUGAGACACGGCCCAGACUCCUACGGGAGGCAGCAGUGGGGAAUUUUGGACAAUGGGCGCAAGCCUGAUCCAGCAAUGCCGCGUGCAGGACGAAGGCCUUCGGGUUGUAAACUGCUUUUGUACAGAACGAAAAGUCUCUGGCUAAUAUCUAGAGAUCAUGACGGU
rnacentral:rRNA from 1 species